CGUUUUGUGAGGCGGAUGGAGGUGUGACAAAGGCGCCCUUCAAAGGUCCCCUCCCCCAAAGAAAAGCUUGUGUUUUGCUGCUUGCACGUCCGUCCGGGACUUCAUCGGGGCACAGGUGCCCGCGGCACUGAAGUAAACACAGGGGUACUGCAGCCAGGCAGAGGGCAGAGGGAGGAGCCGUAUCCCUUCCCAACGCCUUUCCAAGUCGAUCUUCCCACAAAGGCCAUCUCAAGAGUGCUUUCUGGGCACAUCCCUGGAGCAGGAGGCAGAGCUCCUUGGCAGGGCGCACAUCAUCCAGCCCAGGCUCAGCGGCAUGCGCCAGUCAGAGGAGCUGAUAGGAGAGGUGUGUGUAGACAGCUCCAGAGAUGCGGAAACCACAGACAUCAGAGGAAAGGACAGGAAGCCGCCUGGAGACAUGCGUAGGGAUCACACCUUUGACUCAGUUCCCCGGAGCCGCCUGAGCUCCAGGGACAGUGCCUGACACCGGACAAGGGUGGUCUCUCAUCCCCAGGGGCCCAGGCGGGGAGAUGUGACCACCGAGACACCCAAGUUCAAGGUGGGUGAAUGACUCGCCCGCAGUCACGGAGCUAGUACUUGGCAGACGUGGGUUUUGGCCUCUUCUCCAGACCUGUCCUUGUGAGCAGCCUGAGCCUAUGAGAGGAGGGGCUGCUCUGUUACUGAUGAUCGUUGCCUGGCUCCUGGCCUCCUCUCACCGCUCCAUAAACGAAUUUUGCACCUUUAUGCCUUCUGCACUGAAUCACGCUACAAGAAAACCGAACUUUGAGCCUGGAAACCAGUGUGACUCCGGCACCGCAGUCUGGGGCUGACCUGGAGGAUCUUGCUGCCUCCCGGGCACUCAGACCAUGGCUGCCUUUCUCACAGGCUGGGCGGCCAAGAAGCUUUCCUAAGCCACCAAUGAAUUUCACCUACAGGAGGCUCCUUGGCUCCCCGGAUUGCGGCUGGCUCUUCCCACACUUGCCUCUCUCCCUGCGGUUGCUGCAAUCCCCGGUCAGACAGUUACAUAAGCAGUCCCCCUUGCCAACUGUCACCAAGGCCACCUGGAAAAUCAGGACUUACGCAAACCAGCAAUGGCUUGCCAAAGGUGCGACACCCUCGUGAGCUUGUCCCCGGCUUCUCGGGAGCUAUGUUCAAGCCCUCUCCUUACUACCAGCCCUGGUUUUUUCAGAGCUAUAACAACAACAACAACGUGUAUUUUCUGCAGACUUGAAGCCAGUUAGGAUGCUGGGGCGUUUCUAGCAUAAAUAGGCUGGAAAUUCCAUUGUUACAUCUGUCCUCUGGUUUCUGGUUUCUUCCUAAUGUCAGUAUGACAUACUUACUCCCGUGUCUAUGUCCUGGUUCUUCUAUCAACUGGCUGCAUGGCCUGAAGCGAGUCACUCUGUCUCCCCAGCCUCCGGCUUCCUCAUCUGCAAAACGAGGGGAUCACGGGAGACAAGCACCAGGACCCUUCUAGUUCUGAACUGACUCGUCCAUCCUCCUGUGGUUUGGCCUGGAGCCUCCUCUUUCCUCCCGUCUGUCUCAUCCACAGAGCCCGUGCCCAAAACACAGCACAGGGACAGACCACAGCUGUCUCCUGACGGCUCUCAGGAUCGCAGUUUGUUGGAGCCAAAGACCUGGCAGGAAAUGUUCACAGCUGACAGAACCACAAUUUCAAAGUCAUGCUGUCAAGAAAGGAUGAAGGACAAGAGGGACAAAUGCCAUGCCCUCUCGAAGCUUCUUCCACUUUUCAGCUUGGAACCUGUUGGUGUCUGUAGUUUGAGGAUGUUCCAAACGUCUGUAGUUACAAACUAUCCCCUCCCGUGCCAGGAGGUCUGGAAGCCCAGCCACGGGAUCAGGCUAUGACGACCAGCCACACAUCCUAUCUUCCUCAGCAUUCCAGUUGCAGAAUAAUUUUUAAAGUAGUUUUGCAACUGCGGUUAGUAACGAAGAGGCAAAAGACUUAACAGCAAAUCCAGUGAGGGAAACAAAGUAACUUCUAGAAGAAAAAAAAAAAAAGAAAGGAAAGAAGAGUGAGAAAAACCAGAAAGGCCAUCAUGAGAAAAAGGACAUUUUUUUAAAAGAAGGAUUAACAGAAGGGGUUAAAGUUGAAGCUGUGCAGAGGCGACCAGCAGAUAGUGAAACAGCAAAGAAACAAACAAAAAACCCAAACAAACAAAACCCUUGGCUAAGAGAUAAUCAGAGAAUGCUUAGUAAAGAGAUUGGAAAGAAUAUGAUAUCAGAACAGUAAUGACCAUUUUAAAAGAAAAUGAGUUCUGGCAAUGGAUUGCCUGUCAUUUUUAUUCUAUCAAAAGCUGGUGGAAGUCUGAUGAAAAAUAAGGAGGAGAAAUAGGGACGAAAGGAAAUGUCUUACAGAGAAAAUUCUGAGUCUGAACGAUAUACAGUCAGGUUUGUGUGCUGAAAUCCCCUAGAUGAAUGCUUCCAAGAAAUGAAACCAUUAACAUGAGCGAUUUGAGAAACUGGGCAUCACAGAGUGUCUCAGAGUAAGGACAGGAUGAUUGGAAGGCAUACAAAGAAAAGAAUCAAAUUCCGUUCAGAGAGAGAAGAAAGGCCAUCUGCAGGACGGACCGGAGGAAAGGCUUUUGUCCUGCCGUUUAAGCAGUGAACUGUGGCUUCAGGGAGCCUUUUCCCGCUCGUUACGUGCUAUGCUACGUUUGGCUUGAGCCAUGAUUGCUGCCUGUUUUGUUGUGUGUGUAUGUGCGUGUGUGUGUGCGUGUGUGUGUGUGUGUGUAUCAAAGUAUCAUGUAGUUUUCCAAACUGCCCGAGGCUCCAGGCAAUGAGAGAAUAGGAUGAAUCAUAUGUAAGAAUAAGCUUUGAUGAAAAAGCCUUCAAUCAUUCAAUGGCAUGAUGGGUUAAAUAAUCCCCAUGAUGUCUGUCUGACAGAAGAAGGACUAUUUUUGGACUUCGCAUAGAAGGAAUGUAUCACCAGCACGUUCGUAAGUAUUCGUGGCGUAGGUCCACUUAGAACAUCUCAAAGUGCCCUUCGUGGACGCAGCCUGGUUUUUGUAUUUCUACUUGUGGUAACAGUUUGUGGUGAUUAUUAUAAGAAAUAAUGAUGAGAGGUUUUCUUGAAAAAUUAAAAAAUCAGUAGCAGUAGUGGCUAAAACUUAAGAGUACUUACUAAGUGUCUCUUCAAACAGCUCCUUACAUAUAUUCAUUCCCGUAUCCCUAUCACGUAGGUGCUGUUAUGAUUCCAUUUUGCAGAUAAGGAAACUGAGGCACGGGAAGGUGAGAUGACUUGUCCAAGUUCACACAGCCAGAAAGAAGCAGAGUCGGGUUUCUAAUGUACUGAACUCCCAUGUGCCCACUCCCAUUUUUAGCAAACUGUUCAUACUUUUCCUAUUUGCCUCAAGUCCUCCUAUAAGAUACAAAGGAAAUAAAACAUUACACAGAAAGUUGCUGUUGCAUGCCUAUCCCCCAUCCCAUGAACGUGGGGUAUAGUCUUUAGCUCCUUUUAAAACACUUUUACAGGGACAGCUGGAUGGCUCAGUCAGUUAAGCAUCUGCCUUCGGGUCAGGUCAUGAUCCUGGGGUCUUGGGAUCGA